rnacentral:rRNA from 1 species
GACGAACGCUUGCGGCGUGCCUAAGAAAUGCAAGUCGAGCGGGGAUGCUUUGCAUUGGGUUGAUGAGGCGGGUUGAUGGUUGAUAGUUGAUGGUUGAUGGUUAAAUGCCUCACGGUGUUUUCCAACAACCAUACACCAUACACCAUCAACCAAAAAACCAUCAACCGAAUGCAGAGCAUUCUAGCGGCGAACGGUCGCGUAACACGUAAGCAACCUGCCNCAAAGACCGGGACAACAUCUCGAAAGGGGUGCUAAUACCGGAUGUGGCCACCUGAUGGCAUCUUCGGGUGAUUAAACCGAGCAAUCGGCUUUGAGAGGGGCUUGCGGCCUAUCAGCUAGUUGGUGGGUAACGGCCUACCAAGGCGACGACGGGUAGCUGGUCUGAGAGGACGAUCAGCCGGACUGGGACUGAGAUACGGCCCAGACUCCGUACGGGGGCAGCAAUUAGGAAUCUUG